UAGACCUCCCUCUCUCUCUUUCACACACAUCCCAAUUCUUCAUAUUUCGUCUUCCUCAGUCCUUUUUUUCCCUCUUGGAAACCCUAAAUGUCUCAAUCAAUCCACACGAUAUUCCCAGUAUGGUUCCAAUGAAGAGAAGACUCAAGUGGCGGACAUCAUUUAGUUCGCAACAAAACAACGAGGCUCAGAUGGUGGUGCGGAGAACACCGACUUGCUUGCCCAACUUGUUUGCAGGUUAGCAAUGAUUCCCAAGGGUUUCUUAGACCAGCUUCCAUUUUUAUGUAUAAUUCUCUCAUAUGGUUGCCAUGAUAUGUUGGAGCAUUUGGAAAUGUCGAAAUGAGAGUAUCUUCAAUAAGGUUAAACCAGAUUCAAGAAGAGCCAUAAUGCUUGCAGACAGCACGAGGCUUGACUGGUUGAGUCAUCAGGAGAAGAAAGGUAGCGCAACUACGAGAACCUCUGAACCAGCGUGGACUCCUCCCCCUGCAGGAUCAAUGAAAAUGAAUUUUGAUGCAGGCUGGGCUGGCGCUACGGGCAUGGGGCUUGGCCUUGUUGUUUGAGACAGCCUGGGUGCGUUUCAAGUGGCUGCAACUCACUACCAGGAAGUUAGAAUGGACCCGCUGAUGGCUGAAGCAGUUGAUUUAAGAUGGGCUCUGAACUUAGCAACUAAUUGGAACCUUGACAGCUUGGUAGUCUCCUCUGAUUGAGUAUCCCUCUUUGAAAAACAUUCUUUUGGAUUGUCCCAUUGAGUAUCCCUCUUUGAAAAACAUUCUUUUGGAUUGUUUACAGUUAAUAGAUAGCUUUAGUUCUUUCUCUCUGUUGUCUGAGUAUAGACAAACAAAUAGAGUUGCGCAUGCUUUAGCUGCUGAAAGUCAUUUGUACAAAGACUGCG